GCAAACUUGGUCAUUUAGAGGAAGUAAAAGUCGUAACAAGGUUUCCGUAGGUGAACCUGCGGAAGGAUCAUUAGAAAAAAAAGAUCGAAACAAUAUGGACGAUCAAAUCCAUAUCCACCUUGUGUGCACCCAUUGACCGUUUGCUUUGGUAGGAGAAAAAAGGAGCCUUUCGAGGCGACGACGACGAGGUUCAAAUUCGGACCUCGGCCUGCCAGAGUUUUUUGUUCCAAACUCACGCUUCAUUUUGUUUUCUUUGCUUGGACUGAAACCUUCGUCUCGAUUCCCUUUGUGAAAUCGGUCGAAUCUAAUACAACUUUCAACAACGGAUCUCUUGGCUCUCGCAUCGAUGAAGAACGCAGC
rnacentral:misc_RNA from 1 species